rnacentral:rRNA from 1 species
AGCUAAUAGAUACCCUGGUAGUCCAUGCCGUAAACGUUGGGCACUAGGUGUGGGGGACAUUCCACGUUUUCCGCGCCGUAGCUAAACGCAUUAAGUGCCCCGCCUGGGGAGUACGGCCGCAAGGCUAAAACUCAAAGGAAUUGACGGGGGCCCGCACAAGCGGCGGAGCAUGCGGAUUAAAUUCGAUGCAACGCGAAGAACCUUACCAAGGCUUGACAUGGACCGGAUCGCUGCAGAAAUGUGGUUUCUCCUUUUGGGGCCGGUUCACAGGUGGUGCAUGGUUGUCGUCAGCUCGUGUCGUGAGAUGUUGGGUUAAGUCCCGCAACGAGCGCAACCCUCGUUCCAUGUUGCCAGCACGUGAUGGUGGGGACUCAUGGGAGACUGCCGGGGGUCAACUCGGAGGAAGGUGGGGACGACGUCAAAUCAUCAUGCCCCUUAUGUCUUGGGCUUCACGCAUGCUACAAUGGCCGGUACAAAGGGUUGCGAUACUGUGAGGUGGAGCUAAUCCCAAAAAGCCGGUCUCAGUUCGGAUUGGGGUCUGCAAC